CAAUGACAAAGUGGAUGAUUAUUGCUCUUUUCUUCACGUCUCAUGACUUUGGUUGUAACUCUCAGGACAGUGUUGAUCAAAGUGAAACAGUUCAAACUGCUUUUGAAGGACAAACUACAACAAUCACUUGUACAUAUAAAAGCACUGAUACAUCCCCGACUCUCUUCUGGUAUCAACAAAGAGUGAAUGAAUUCCCAAAAUACAUGCUGAACAGAUAUGACACAGACAAAGAGUUCAAGGAGAGAUUUAACGCAGACCUCAACACAAUUUCAAAAUCAUUUCCUCUGAUAAUUCAGGAUGUAGAUUAUAUGUACAAACUGCACUCUUGUCUGGAUGGUCACGAUGGAGACACAGAUGACUCUCCUCAUGAUUUUCACUGCAGUUUCAAGUUCAUUCGCAGAUGAAAUUGGACCAGAAGGAGACGCUAAUAUGAUCAG